UACGUAGGGUGCAAGCGUUGUCCGGAAUUAUUGGGCGUAAAGAGCUCGUAGGCGGUCUGUCACGUCGGCUGUGAAAUCCCGGGGCUCAACCCCGGGCCUGCAGUCGAUACGGGCAGACUAGAGUGCGGUAGGGGAGACUGGAAUUCCUGGUGUAGCGGUGAAAUGCGCAGAUAUCAGGAGGAACACCGGUGGCGAAGGCGGGUCUCUGGGCCGUAACUGACGCUGAGGAGCGAAAGCGUGGGGAGCGAACAGG
rnacentral:rRNA from 1 species